UGGGGAAUAUUGCACAAUGGGCGCAAGCCUGAUGCAGCCAUGCCGCGUGUGUGAAGAAGGCCUUCGGGUUGUAAAGCACUUUCAGCGGGGAGGAAGGCGAUAAGGUUAAUAACCUUGUCGAUUGACGUUACCCGCAGAAGAAGCACCGGCUAACUCCGUGCCAGCAGCCGCGGUAAUACGGAGGGUGCAAGCGUUAAUCGGAAUUACUGGGCGUAAAGCGCACGCAGGCGGUCUGUCAAGUCGGAUGUGAAAUCCCCGGGCUUAACCUGGGAACUGCAUUCGAAACUGGCAGGCUAGAGUCUUGUAGAGGGGGGUAGAAUUCCAGGGGUAGCGGUGAAAUGCGUAGAGAUCUGGAGGAAUACCGGUGGCGAAGGCGGCCCCCUGGACAAAGACUGACGCUCAGGUGCGAAAGCGUGGGGAGCAAACAGG
rnacentral:rRNA from 1 species